CCUACGGGAGGCAGCAGUGGGGAAUAUUGCGCAAUGGGGGAAACCCUGACGCAGCAACGCCGCGUGCAGGAAGAAGGUCUUCGGAUUGUAAACUGUUGUCGCAGGGGAAGAAGACAGUGACGGUACCCUGUGAGAAAGUCACGGCUAACUACGUGCCAGCAGCCGCGGUAAUACGUAGGUGACAAGCGUUGUCCGGAUUUAUUGGGUUUAAAGGGUGCGUAGGCGGUUCGAUAAGUUAGAGGUGAAAUCCCGGGGCUCAACUCCGGCACUGCCUCUGAUACUGUCGGGCUAGAGUUUAGUUGCGGUAGGCGGAAUGUAUGGUGUAGCGGUGAAAUGCAUAGAGAUCAUACAGAACACCGAUUGCGAAGGCAGCUUACCAAACUACGACUGACGUUGAGGCACGAAAGCGUGGGGAGCAAACAGGAUUAGAUACCCCUGUAGUC
rnacentral:rRNA from 1 species